rnacentral:rRNA from 1 species
AUGUUUCUCCUGAUCCUGUCCAUUCGAAACACAAGCAAAAACAAGUCAAAUUUUGUGUAUGCAAAGUCUGCACUGCACACUCAAAAUCAGAACAAUUUAUUUCUCAUUUAUUCAUCGCCAAAUCUGUUUGACGAUUACACAAGUACAGACACAACAGGGAGAAGAAACGCAAUACAAGUACAGAUGCCUCGCCACACUCGAUCAGCAAGAACAAGACACAACUAUAGCAUACUUUUAGGCUGCAGAACUCGCACACACAUGAACCAGACUGGGUCCGACCCGAGUACUCAACCGGAGAUCUCGAUGGCCUUCACCUCGGGCUUCUUGACCUCGGCCUUGGGCACGGUGACGGUGAGCACGCCGUUCUCCAGCCCGGCCUUCACCUCCUCCACCUUGGCGUCCUCGGGGAGGCGGAAGCGCCGCACGAACUUGCCGCUGCUGCGCUCCAUGCGGUGCCACUUGUCGUUCUUGUCCUCCUUCUCCUUUGUGCGCUCGCCACUGACGACGAGCACGUUGCCGUCCUCCACCUCCACCUUGACCUCCUCCUUCUUCACUCCUGGAAGGUCGGCCUUGAAGACGUGCGCCUCGGGAGUCUCCUUCCAGUCCACGCGAGCGUUGGCGAACGCGGCCGUCUCGCUGUUGCCGCCUGAGAUCGCCGGGACGAUGGAGCGGAAGGUGUCGAAGGGGUCCGCCCAGAGGUCGGCGAAGGGGUCGAACACGUUGCUCCGCCUCACGAUCGACAUUGUCGGUGUUGCUUGCUUUGGCUUGUAG